AACGAACGCUGGCGGCACGCCUAACACAUGCAAGUCGAACGAACCCUUCGGGGUUAGUGGCGCACGGGUGCGUAACGCGUGGGAAUCUGCCCUUUGCUUCGGAAUAACAGUUAGAAAUGACUGCUAAUACCGGAUGAUGUCUUCGGACCAAAGAUUUAUCGGCAAGGGAUGAGCCCGCGUAGGAUUAGGUAGUUGGUGGGGUAAAGGCCUACCAAGCCGACGAUCCUUAGCCGGUCUGAGAGGAUGAUCAGCCACACUGGGACUGAGACACGGCCCAGACUCCUACGGGAGGCAGCAGUGGGGAAUAUUGGACAAUGGGCGCAAGCCUGAUCCAGCAAUGCCGCGUGAGUGAUGAAGGCCUUCGGGUCGUAAAGCUCUUUUACCAGGGAUGAUAAUGACAGUACCUGGAGAAUAAGCUCCGGCUAACUCCGUGCCAGCCGCCGCGGUAAGAC
rnacentral:rRNA from 1 species